rnacentral:rRNA from 1 species
UAGCAGUAGGGAAUCUUCCACAAUGGACGCAAGUCUGAUGGAGCAAUGCCGCGUGAGUGAAGAAGGGUUUCGGCUCGUAAAACUCUGUUGUUGAAGAAGAACGGGUGUCAGAGUAACUGUUGACAUCGUGACGGUAUUCAACCAGAAAGCCACGGCUAACUACGUGCCAGCAGCCGCGGUAAUACGUAGGUGGCAAGCGUUGUCCGGAUUUAUUGGGCGUAAAGCGAGCGCAGGCGGUUAUUUAAGUCUGAUGUGAAAGCCUUCGGCUUAACCGAAGAAGUGCAUCGGAAACUGGAUGACUUGAGUGCAGAAGAGGACAGUGGAACUCCAUGUGUAGCGGUGGAAU